AUUGAACGCUGGCGGCAGGCCUAACACAUGCAAGUCGAACGGUAACAGGAAGAAGCUUGCUUCUUUGCUGACGAGUGGCGGACGGGUGAGUAAUGUCUGGGAAACUGCCUGAUGGAGGGGGAUAACUACUGGAAACGGUAGCUAAUACCGCAUAACGUCGCAAGACCAAAGAGGGGGACCUUCGGGCCUCUUGCCAUCGGAUGUGCCCAGAUGGGAUUAGCUAGUAGGUGGGGUAACGGCUCACCUAGGCGACGAUCCCUAGCUGGUCUGAGAGGAUGACCAGCCACACUGGAACUGAGACACGGUCCAGACUCCUACGGGAGGCAGCAGUGGGGAAUAUUGCACAAUGGGCGCAAGCCUGAUGCAGCCAUGCCGCGUGUAUGAAGAAGGCCUUCGGGUUGUAAAGUACUUUCAGCGGGGAGGAAGGGAGUAAAGUUAAUACCUUUGUUCAUUGACGUUACCCGCAGAAGAAGCACCGGCUAACUCCGUG
rnacentral:rRNA from 1 species